rnacentral:lncRNA from 1 species
GUCACAAUUUACCCAAGAUGAGCACAACCAGGUCUGUAUGGCAGCCUCUGACGUGUCCAAGGUAUUCUACCUGAAGGGCUGAUGUGGACUGUCCUCUCAUCCUUCAUUGAUUAUCUGGUCAACUGGCAGAUGGUUGACCCCAUCCUGAGAGGUUUCCCUGGACUAGACAUGCUUUUCUGCCUGCCCAUCACCAUUGCCAAAUCGGGCAUCCAAAUUUGUGUCACAUGACUCUCUUUUCUCUCCUGGCCAUUCCUGACCGCAUCAGAAAAGGUAUCUCAGGGAGAUGGUGGGGAUGCACCCAGCAAAGGAAGGAUGGAAGAGAU